rnacentral:misc_RNA from 1 species
GGAUGGGCACUGUACAUUAUGGCUCGUAAAACGGCUGAAACCGUCGGUAUAUAGGCCGUCUUGUUGCGGGCGAGCAGCCAUGUCAGACCCAUCAACUGGCAGUCCCUAUUGAACAUAUUGCUUGCCCUGUCAUCUCUUCCCUCCUCUGUUUGGUUCUUGUUGCUGGCCUUCACCUUUUGGAGGGCGCCAAGGCACUUAGUACAC